UCUCUUCGGAGACAUCCGAUAAAAUUGGAACGAUACAGAGAAGAUUAGCAUGGCCCCUGCGCAAGGAUGACACGCAUAAAUCGAGAAAUGGUCUAAAUUUUUUUGCCGUUUUCACAAAUUUCUCCUGAUUUCCCAAGCGACGGCAGCCCUAGAUCUCAAUGAGAAAUCCUCCGGCAGCCUCUCCUCCAUUUUGUGAAUCAAAAAGUUUUUUUUUUUGGACUUUAUCUUCCUUUGUGUUUGCCAGCAACGGAAGCCCUAAUCACAGUUCUCUUCAGCCUUUCCUCAAUUUCGCGAUCGACCCGUCGGAACUCUCGUGGCAUCGACUUGCUAGAGAUCAGUUAUGAGUCUUUACUUGUGGGAAUAUUGAUGAAAGUUUCAAUUUUUACCUGUCAUUUCUCCUUGCUCGGAACCUGUGAGUUACUGUCUUGGAAACCUGGUUGAUGAGGUUGUGGGAAUUUCUAAAGGAGAGCACGGUUUGUAUAAGAUCCUUCACAAAAGUUGCUGGUGGAUCUGACUAAUCUCCAUUUUGAUCAAUUCAGCAAGAAUAUACUGAGUUGGGGGGAAGAAAAUGAAGGAUAUCUAGGAAGAGACAUUGAUGAAGGUGAGUAGCUUGCAGAAGUUCUAUUGUAAAAUAAAAUUUAAGAAGAGAAUGGUAAUUCUAUUCUUGGAGGAGAAAAAGACAUAUCCUACAAAUUUAAAUACUGCUUUUGUAUUGAAGAUUUAUAUCUUGACUUAGUGGCAGUUGAUGAUAAUGUCUCCAUAUCUUGUUCAGUCAUACCCAACACAACAUUCUUAAUUUCAUAUAUUAAAUUUGUUUGUGCAUGCUUUUGGGUUCGAUCACAAAAAGGAAAGCUUCAUUGAAGUGAUUUCUAAUGGUUUUUCUUUGUAUUAGAAUUUAGUUGCAAAGUUAAAGUUUCAAUGAAGAUAUUUUUUA